UAGGAAGUGCAGAAGCACAUGAUGGUGAAA
rnacentral:piRNA from 1 species